rnacentral:lncRNA from 1 species
UAGGAUAACUCAUCAAUGUUGAGAGCACCUUGUGACCAGGGAGUGACUUGUGAAGCCUGCCAGUGGCAUUCCUAUCUUCUCUUACUUGUUUCAAGGCUGCCAGGUCCAACGAGAUGUCAGAUGGUGAAAGGACUGCUACACACGCCACCUUGCAAACACUAAGGGCUAGAUAUAACUAUCUGCUCAUUCCCUUUUGACUCUGGCACAAAUGAAUUAUUAUCACAGCAUCUGCAAGGGACCUGACUGGGGUGAUUAAGAGCUUCUAUCAGCACUGGAUAAAACAGUAGGAAACGUCAUCCCUGCCCUGCCUAAAAGAUCAAUUGUGAGAAGAAAAGAGUCAUUUGUAAAGGACACAUCUGACACAGUUUAUCAUUAAUGGAUCAUUUGUUGGAUGACUUCUCAUACAAAUUUAUCAAAAAUUUCACUGAAGAUCUCCAGUUUUAUUUGAUGACAUAUUUUAUAUCUGGGUGUACCUAUUACAGACCUGGAGUGGGAUGGCAUCCAAGUUUGUCAUUUUUUCCUCUCCUUCAAUAUCAAUACAGAUCUGAAAGGGUCUCAGAAAACAAGAUCCACCAAAGAAAAUCAUCCCGGGAUAGAUGACCCACUGUGCCCUGAAGGAAACCUUUCUUCUGUGUGAGCCAGGCCAAAAAUAAACCCCACAAAUUAUCCUUCCA